rnacentral:tRNA from 1 species
CAAGACGUAGCUUAAUAAAGCAAUCAGCUUACACCUGAAAGAUAUCUGCUAAGACCAGAUCGUCUUGA